UAAGAGCCUACGCCACCAAAGUAAAAGCAGGAUUCGACCUCGUUCGAAUCACGGCUGUUAUUUCGAUAAGUUCUAAAUAACACCCUUAAGGCUAAAAGCCUUCGCCAUUAAAGUAAAAGCAGAAUUCGACCUCGUUCGAAUCACGACGGGAUGUUAUUUUGAUAAGUUCGAAAUAAUACCCUUAAGGCUAAGGGCCUUCGCCAUCAAAGUAAAAGCAAGAUUCGAACUCGUUCGAAUCACGACAGGAUUUUAUUUCGAUAAGUUCGAAAUAACACCCAUACGGCUAAGGGCCUUCGCCAUACAAAUAAAAGAAGUAUUCGACCUCGUUCGAAUCACGACGGGAUGUUAUUUUGAUAAGUUAGAAAUAACACCAUUAUGGCUAAGAGCCUUCGCUAUCAAAGUAAAAAGCAGGAUUCGACCUCAUUUGAAUCACGACGGGAUGUUAUUUCGAUAAGUUAGAAAUAACACCGUUAAGGCUAAGAGCCUUCG
rnacentral:lncRNA from 1 species